AAAGCUCAGAUCGCAAACUUUCUAAUGGUGUGUGUCUUUUGAAAAUCAAAUGAGAAACUAUGACACACUGGCAGUUUAAAAAUAGAUUUUAGCGUAAAGUAACAACUGUUAAAUGUUAAAGGAGCAUACCGAACUAUAACUGAGUGCAAUUAAAUGUUUUCAGAAACCAUGUGUAAAAUGAAUCUUUGAAUCAAAGAAACAUCAAAUAUCACCAAUCAGUGUACUUACAGAACACAACACAUACAGCGCCGCAGCAGCAAGCGAAUUUGCCGCUGCGAAAACCACGCUAUUUUACCUUCUUUCUUGAUUAUUUUACACACACCUGCAUCUGUUCAUAAGACAACAUCAGCUCUCAAAAUUUCAGCUAAACAUUCCAGCAAAAAUAAGUUUUACUGUUUAUCAAGUUGUUGUUGUACAAUUUUGGGUGGAUAGCUAUUUAUUAUAGACAGACGCUAUAUAGGUGAUUAUUCGCCCAAAAAUUAAUAAUUUGAUAUACAUAUAUGUUCUUCUUGAAACUUGUAAUAAGUUCUUCUUUUUCGUAUGUCUAGCCUAUAAUAUACGGUUACAAAAUUUUAAUAUGCUAGAUGUAAGGUAUGCCUCUUUAAUUUGAAUAAAAAAGACAUGGAUCUAAUAGUUCUAUUAUCUUUAUUCUCUUUGUGAAUAUUUGUGUUUUAAUGAAACAGACACUAUUUCUCAUUGGUAUUAUUAUAGUAAUUUUUGAUCAAGCAGAUGGGGGGUUGCCUUGCCCAGCCCAUCAGUGUGUUUCAAGACACUAAGUCUUGAUGGGUUUAGUCAGAGCAGAAUUUCUAGUAUAUAAUGUAACAUUGAUGCAAAUGGUUUGAACGUUAUACUGUUUCAUGGAUGUGACUUUAACAGUGGAGUGGUUUAUUGCACAUCAAAUGCGGGUUUCAACCUUUCUGUGCUGUCAGCGCUUUGAUUGUCAUUAGUUGGACCGAGACAAUCAGGGUAGAUAACUAUGGACUGAUUUUAUAUCAAAUUACCUCCCUUCAUUUCAAAUUAAAAUGGGUAUAUCUCUGUAACUAAUGAAGAUACUGAUCUGAAAUUUCAUUUAUGACAUCAGAUGGACUUGGACUAUCAGUGAAGACUAUAUUGACUGAAUUUAUGACAAAUUACCUCCCUUUAUUUUUUAUGUAAAUGAAUAUACCUAGCAGCUUCUAAUGAGACUGGUUUGAAACGUUAUUUAUGUCUUCCAUGGUAAGAAAUUUCUACUUUUACUUACUUUUCUAAUAUAUUGUUGUAAAGGCUUGUACUCUGUACCUUCUACAUGCAUAUACCAAUGCAUGAUUACCUCCCCUGAUUUUAACAAAAAUGGUUAUCUCAGUAAGUAUUUAUAGGACUCAUUUGAAAUUUCAUUAUUGUCAUUAGUUGGACUGAGACAAUCAGGGUAGAUAAAUAUGGACCGGUUUUUAUGUCAAAUUACCUCCCUUCGUUUCAAAUUAAAAUGGGUGUAUCUCGGUAACCAAUGAAGAUACUGAUUUGAAAUGUCAUAUAUGCCAUCAGAUGGACUCAGACAAUCAGGGUAGAUAACUUUUGACUGAAUUUAUGAUAAAUUACCUCCCUUUAUUUUAUGUAAAUGAAUAUACCUCAGCAGCAUCUAAUGAGAUUGGUUUUAAAUGUUAUUUAAGUUUUCCAGGGUAAGGAAUAGUCAUGCUAGUACAAAAAUGCAGCAUUUGAGCCAAGGACCCUCAAACUUGGUAUGGAGAUUGGCUAUGACUAGUAUGUGACCCAUAGGUCAAAAGGGACUGUUACAAGAAAAUAUUUAUCCUGAUGAUAUUUAAAGUGUAUGCCUAUGUGAUCUAUGUCAAAACUUGAUCUUAUCAUUAAGAGAAAUGGUACUCAGGUGAGCGAUAUAGGGUCAUCAUGGCCCUCUUGUUUAUAUUUUAUUUUUGACAGUGCCGUUUUAAAACAGACUCUGAGCGAUCAUGUUUCGAGGGACUGGGUUCUAAAUUUUUGCAAAAAAGUUUAGAAACGGCAUCGAUCUUUCAUAUUUUAUACUUCAGUUCAUUCAUAUCACCCGGUUUUGUUUCAAGCUGAAGUUGAAAAUGACAGCGAUUAAGCGACUGUAUCCAGCUAUAAUACUCACGUUAUUCAAAUUUGAAAAAAUACACAUACUGAUAAAAAUGGUGGAAGUUUUAUCUGAGUGUUAGAUAUGAAUGCGGUCAAAUGCUGACAAAAACUUAGCCAUAUUUUUACUCUAAACAUAAAUAAAUAAAUAUAUAUUGUUUUUGCUUUGAUGGAAAAGAAUGUAUCAGAAAAUAUAUUUAAAGUAGGCAGUAGUUAUAUCUACUCCUUUUCUGAACUACAAGUAGAUAUUUAAUUGUUUAUUUAGGACGUAAAGCUGGAUGUGAAAUGAAAUCUUCAGCAUACAAGCUGUUUUACAAACCGUCAACGUUUAGAACGGAAAGACGUGACGUUGUCAGAUGGCAUUGAAUUUAGAGGUGCAACGAUUCGCUCCGAUGCAUCGAAAAACCGGUUUUAAACUCGCCGAUUCGAUUCGAUACAGACACCUCAAAAUUCGAUUCGAUCCGCAUUUUAAAAAUGCAUGCCGCAAAUUGCUCUUUGUAUCCCCAUUCUACACAUGUCGACUUUUGUUACGCGGCAUACAAUUGGUCAAUAGUAAAUCUGGCAUCCAAUUAAUAAUAGAGUUGCAUUCUUACUAUACAAGUAACAUGGCGUCUCAAACAUUGAAAGACGCUCCGAAAAAUCUAAAAUCAAAGGUGUGGGAACAUUUUGGUUUCCGCGAGGGAUCAGAACAAAAAGCCACAUGUAAAAUGUGUUACGCGGAUGUAAGUUACCCCAAGUCCGGCAGUACGACCAGUCUUAUGCAGCAUAUGAAAAGAAAACACUCCAUUGAUGUGUUAGAAUUGAAGUCCAACAGAUCGUCAACUUCGAGUCGUUCGACAUGUACAACAUCCACUGGUCAGAUGUAACUGACUGAUUUGAAAACUAAACUAACAUCUGACAGAUCAAACUUGAUAUCCGAAUUCAUUGCUGGUUUUUAGCUCACCUGAGCACGAGAUGCUCAAGGUGAGCUUUUGUGAUCGCCCUGUGUCCGUCGUCCGUCGUCCGUCCGUCCGUCCGUCGUCAACAAUUUGGCUGUAUACACUCAAGAGGUCACAAUUUUGGCCUAAUCUUAAUGAAACUCGGUCAGAAUGUUACCCUCAUAAAAAUCUUGGACGAAUUCGAUAUUGGGUCAUCUGGGGUCAAAAACUAGGUCACCAGGUCAAAUCAAAGGAAAAGCUUGUUAACACUCUAGAGGUCACAAUUUUGGCCCAAUCUUGUGAAACUUGGUCAGAAUGUUACCCUCAAUAAAAUCUUGGAUGAGUUUGAUAUCGGGUCAUCUGGGGUCAAAAACUAGGUCACCAGGUCAAAUCAAAGGAAAAGCUUGUUAACACUGUAGAGGCCACAUUUAUAUUUGUAUCUUCAUGAAACUUGGUCAGAAUGUUACUCAUGAUGAUCUCAAAGUCCAGUUUGAAUCUGGGUCAUGUAGGUUCAAGAACUAGGUCACCAGGUCAAAUCAAAGGAAAAGCUAGUUAACACUCUAGAGGCCACAUUUAUGACCAUAUCCAGGGUUCGCACAGGUCUGGAAAAGUCAUGGAAAACGAGAUUUGUUUGGAAAAGUCAGGGAAAAUUGAAUUUUUGCAUUUUGUCAUGGAAAUGUCAUGGAAAAUUUAAAAAUCGUCAUGGAAAGUAGGAAAGUGAUCAGGAAUAAGUCUGUAUGUGCAUAAAAUGAUUACAUCUGUUUUAAUUUAAUAUCAGAAAAAUCCAGAUUUAAACGCGUAAUCGAACAAUCAGUAAUUUACGUCAAUAUUGGGGUCGAAUCUGGUUGGGUACGAAAUGACCGUUAAGUUUACUAUUGCACCGUUCCAGGUUUAUUUUCGUUGUACUUUUAAAAACGAAACUAAGCGUGAAAUAGCUAAAAAUAGUAAAAUAUGAGUCAGAAAAGAAGUUGCCGAUACAACACUAACUGGGAAAGGAAUGAACAGUACAAAGCAUGGUUAAAGCCUUUCAAGUUGGAUAACAGGAGAGCCUUAUGCACCGUCUGUGACAAACUUAUCGAUCUGUCAAAUAUGGGCGAAACUGCAAUAAAAUCGCACAUGAAAGGUGGAAAACACGUUGCAAGCAUUAAACUCCGUGAUAAAACGACAAAAACAUGUGACACAUUAAAAUCUUUUUUCAAACCUGUGGAAACUGUCGUGUCUGAUAUGUGUAUUCCCCCACCCACUCAAGAACAAUGUCCAAGACAAAGUGCCAGUGGGAUAGACUCCUUUGUGUCUAAGGAGGAUGUAACAAGGGCUGAAAUAUUAUGGACACUGAAACUAAUAACAUCACAUCAAUCAUUGCAUUUAUUUCGAGUUUCGUAUGUUUGGAUUGCGUCAUGGAAAACCAGGCAAUGUCAUGGAAAAGUCAUGGAAAAGUCACGGAAUUCUUGUAUCCAAGAUCUGUAUGAACCCUGAUAUCUUAAUUUUGGCUCAAUCUUAAUGAAACUUGGUCAGAAUGUUACCCUUAAUAAAAUCUUGGACGAGUUCGAUAUUGGGUCAUCUGGGGUGAAAAACUAGGUCACCAGGUCAAAUCAAAGGAAAAGCUUGUUAACACUGUAGAGGCCACAUUUUUGACUGUAUCUUCAUGAAUCUUGGUCAGAAUGUUUAUCUUGAUGGUCUCAAGGUCCAGUUUGAAUCUGGGCCAUGUAGGGUCAAAAACUAGGGUCACCAGGUCAAAUCAAGCUAGUUAAAACUGUAGAGACCACAUUUAUGACCAUAUCUUAAUGAAACUUGGUCAGAAUGUUAAUCUUGAUGAUCUAUAGGUCAAGUUUUAAUCUGGGUCAGGUGAGAUCAAAAACUAGGUUACUAGGUCAAAUCAAAGGAAAAGCUUGUUAACACUCUAGAGGCCACAUUUAUAACUUUAUCUUCAUGAAACUUAAGAAUGUUAAUCUUGAUGAUCUUUAAGUCAAGUUCGAAUCUGGGUGAUGUGGGGUCAAAAACUAGGUCACCGGGUCAAAUCAGAGGAAAAGCUAGUUAACGCUUUAGAAACAAAAUUUCUGACCAUAUCUUAAUGAAACCUUGUCAGAAUGUUAAUUUUGAUGAUCUUAGAUCAAUAGGUCAGGCGAGCGAUACAGGGCCUUCAUGGCCCUCUUGUUUAGCGCAAGAUAUUCGCCCUUACAGCACAGUUCAAAGUUGUGGUUUCAUAAACAUGGUGAAUAUAUUGGAGCCAAGGUAUAAACUUCCAAGUCGUACACACUUUAGUGAAACUGUCAUGCCAGCACUCUGGAAAACCGUUGUAGAUCCGGUGAAAAGGCAACUUCAAAAUGCUGACAGCAUUGCUAUCACAACAGAUUCAUGGACUUCGAGAGCAACAGAGAAUUAUGUAGCUGUUACAGCCCAUUUUAUCAAUAAAGACUGGCAAGUUGAAAACUACAGCCUUGAAACAAAACUAUUCGGUGAAUCUCAUACAUCUGCAAAUUUGGCCAAUGGUCUGAAGGAGACAGUUACCCACUGGCAACUUGAACGCAAUGGCAAGGAUCCUGCCAUUACCACUGACAAUGCUAGUAACAUCGUUCAGGCAGUUAAGGAAUCGGGUUUGGGUCCACAUAUUGGAUGUUUCGCUCACACCAUAAACCUGGCAACACAACGUGGGCUGAAAGUUCCACAAGUAGAUAGACUUUUGGGUAGGGUGCGGCGUGUGGUAACAUAUUUUCAUAAAAGUACAUCAGCCAUAGCCUGCCUCAAGCUAAUGCAGACAAGACUUGAUGUUGCUCAGCACAAAUUGCUGCUUGAUGUUCCAACCAGGUGGAAUUCUAGUUUUGAUAUGUGUGAACGAUAUUUAGAGCAACAAGCACCUGUAUAUGCUGCAGUGAUUGAACUGAAAAAAAGUCAGUGAUGUAGUAACAUUAUCAGAAGGUGAUGUACAGAACAUUGAAGAAUUAGUACAAAUUCUGAGACCACUGAAGACUGUUACAACCAUGAUGUGUAGCCAGCCGACAGUGUCACUUAUACACCCUCUGAAAGAAAUGCUUCUCAAACAUCUUGAGGUCUCACCCUCUGACAACACACUGGUGUCAGAUAUCAAGACAGCAAUCAGCUCUGACCUCAAGCCAAGGUACACUGGCGAAAGUAUUCUGGGGUUCCUUUUGCAGACUUCAGCCCUUGAUCCGCGGUUUAAGAGCCUACCUGGAUGUUGCUUCCCGAUGUGAUGUGUACGACAGUAUCAAAAUAGCAGUGAAUGAUUCUACCAUUCAGAAUGUGACUGUGAAAGAGGAACCUGAGGACAGUGAUCACGAAAUGCCUUCUACUAGCGAGCCUCCGGUCCCUGCCUUACCGGCACUGGAGGAAGGUGAACCCCCUGUGAAAAUAAAAAAGGAAGUUAUAAUUUAUGAACGUACAUCAAGUGGUGGUCUGACUUGUUUGGUGAUGUUUUUAUGCCCCCAAAGGGAGGCAUAUAGUUUUUGAACCGUCUGUCCGUCCGUCGGUUUGUCGGUCUGUCCGCAAUUUUCGUGUCCGGUCCAUAUCUUUGUCAUCGAUGGAUGGAUUUUCAAAUAACUUGGCAUGAAUGUGUACCACAGUAAGACGACGUGUCGCGCGCAAGACCCAGGUCCGUAGCUCAAAGGUCAAGGUCACAGACGUUAAAGGUCAUUUUUCAUGAUAGUGCAUUCGUGUCCGGUCCAUAUCUUUGUCAUCCAUGGAUGGAUUUUCAAAUAACUUGGCAUGAAUGUGUACCACAGUAAGACGACGUGUCGCACGCAAGACCCAGGUCCGUAGCUCAAAGGUCAAGGUCACACUUAGACGUUAAAGGUCAUUUUUCAUGAUAGUGCAUUCGUGUCCGGUUCAUAUCUUUGUCAUCCAUGGAUGGAUUUUCAAAUAACUUGGCAUGAAUGUGUACCACAGUAAGACGACGUGUCGCCCACAAGACCCAGGUCUGUAGCUCAAAGGUUAAGG